rfam:Pseudomonas pseudoalcaligenes KF707 = NBRC 110670 strain KF707 ctg1532, whole genome shotgun sequence.
GGCCUGGCCCUUGCUAAAGGAACCCCAAGGCAGCCAAUGGCGGUUGCCACACCCACGACAAAGACGCCGU